rnacentral:rRNA from 1 species
GUCAGUGGUCAUAUCUCCUGCAGUUCAGACUUGGUAAUCCUCCUGAAGUUAAGCAGGUGAUGGGCUUGGCCGGUACUUGGAUGGGAAACCAUCUAGGAAAGCUGGGUUUCUGUUGAAU